rnacentral:rRNA from 1 species
UACGUAGGGGGCUAGCGUUGUCCGGAUUUAUUGGGCGUAAAGAGCGUGUAGGCGGCCAGGUAGGUCCGGUGUGAAAACUCGAGGCUUAACCUCGAGAUGUCAUCGGAAACCAUCUGGCUAGAGUCCGGAAGAGGAAAGUGGAAUUCCUGGUGAUAGCGGUGAAAGUGACGCAGAUAUCAGGAGGAACACCGGUGGCGAAGGCGGGUCUCUGGGCCGAUACUGACGCUGGAGGAGCGAAAGCGUGGGGAGCGAACAGG